GUUGUCAUCCCGUAGCGGUCAAUCGGGUCGGUUUUAAGUUGCCACGUGGCCACCGAUGAGGAAGCUCACCGCGGGUUCGAAUCCCGCUGACAACA